ensembl:lncRNA GUSBP5 GUSB pseudogene 5
GAGGAAAGCCCAGCGACGCCGGGCCAGCGCAUUCUUAUUUUAUGUAUGAGCAAACUAUGGAAUGGAAAAGAGAUUAUGAGUUAUUACUUGAUUUGAUUUGCCCUAAGUGUUUUUUAAACGUAUGGAUUUAGCGCCAACAUUUAAAAAGAAGGUAUAUUUUAAUUAAAAAUCAGGAAUUGAUUUAAUUUAAAAUUUGGCUCCUCUUACAGGAAGAUCUGGCAAGAGUUAGCGUGCAGUUCUACAUUGUGACAAUUCAUGAGAGCUAAGGACUGGCUGUCUCUUGGGACAAAUAGGCUUUCUUGAGUCUGAUGCCCUGGAAUACACUUGUGUCAGUGACAAAUGCUGCUUUGCUGUGCUACACCGAGUACAAGGUCGUGUCCAGUGAUUCAAGUUUGACACACCACACCACGGUGGAUGUGCCUUUCAUGACGCAUCUUCUCAGCAGCACUAGAAGAUACAUCCAAAGUCCUGUGAGCAAGGUCUGUGGUAUCUGUUUAUUAUGGCAGCCCAGUGAGACUAAGACAGGCCAUCAAAAGACGUGAACGUUUUGGACCUUCUCUUGGGCCCUAGUAAACAGAAAUCAGGCUACUUAUUAAACUAAACCACGUUCUGAACUGUUACUGCUACUGGAAACCAGUCCCGAUCCAGACCCCAAAAGAGGAUUCUUGGAUCUUGCACAAGAAAGAAAGGAGAGGGACCUGUAGUCAUUACCUUCAAGGAACCUAAAUCCUGGUGUCUUUAUGGUUAUGGGUGGCAUAUAAUAUACAGACACAGUGAAGGAGUGAGAUGUGAAGGUGCUCUGUCAUUGCCUCAGUCAAGACUUUCAUGGUACAUUGGAAGAAAGAGAAGCGUGAACAAAUUGCAUGAUACUUGAGGUCAUGCUGUGUACCUGUAUUGAACAAGAAUAAGGGAAGAAAGCUGGGAACCUGGAUCUCCCAUAUAUUGGAAGUUUUGUAAAAACCUUGAGGGUCCCUUCCACUACAUAUGGGGAUUAUGGGAACUGCAAUUCAAGAUGAGAUUUGAGUGAGGACACAGCCAAACCACAUGGUUUUAGAACAUUGACGAAGAGAGAAGACAACCCACUUUGCCAUAUAUGCCCAUGGUCUUACCAAGGCUAGAGUACAGUGGCACAGUCAUAGCUCACUGCAGCCUUAAACUCCCAGACUCAGGCAAUGGAUCCGAUCCUCCCACCUCAGCCAGCCUCCCAAGUAGCUGAGACUACAGGAAGAUCUGGCAAGAGUUAGCAUGCAGGUCUACAUUGUGACAAUCCAUGAGAGCUAAGGACUGGCUGUCUCUUGGGACAAAUAGGCUUUCUUGAGUCUGGAUGUCCGCUCUGCUUGUCUUACCGCAUGAGAGAGUGCAGAUGUUCCUGAAAGCAUCUUUGCGUGGAUUUGCUUGAAGCGAGAUGUGAGAGAAGGGGCAAAGCUCGAAGGGAGCUGCUAGAGAGAGAGGAAAGCAGCUGGACAGGGCUUUCCUGAUGACUGAAAUAAAUGAAUAAGUCUUCAGGGACCAGAUGGGCGCAGUGGCUCACGCCUGUAAUCCCAGCACUUUGGGAGGCUGAGGUGGGUGAAUCACGAGGUCUGGAGUUUGAGACCAGCCUGUCCAAUAUGGUGAACCCCCGUCUCUAUUUAAAAUACAAAAAUUAGACUGGCGUGGUGGCACACGCCUGUAGUCCCAGCUACUCGGGAGGCUGAAGCAGAAGAAUCGCUUAAACCUGGGAGGCAGAGGUUGCAGUGAGCCAAGGUUGUUGAGCCACUGCACUCCAGCCUGGGUGACAGAUCGAGACCCCAUCUCAAAAAAAAAAAAAAAAAAAAAAGAAA